GCCAGCAUGGUGUAGUGGUUUGAGUGCUGGACUGUGGAUCUGGAGACCAGGGUUCAAAAUCCCAGUUUGGCC